UUGCUGCUGUUGUUGUUAUUCCGAGAAGGGCAAGUUUCCAUUUAAUUCAUUUACCUGGGAAAUGAAUAGAAAAGAGAGACAAGUUUUAAGGAGGCAGAAGAGCAGCUGGAGCCCUGGAGCGCAGCGGACAGAAUCCCACCGCAGCUCAGCUCUGCCGCAUUCGGUUGCAUUUUGCCGGGGGCAAUGCCUGUGCUAAUAUUAGAAUUAUCCCCUGCGCUAAAGGACUUCAUACACUAAAAGCACACAUUAGGUAGCACACGCGAUGCUUUUAGAUGCGUUUCUCAAGAUCAGCAGGUUGCUGAUCUCCGAAUCCUUUGCCGCGGCGGACGCUCCCGCCGGGCGGAGCGGGCCCGGCGCUGAGGGAGCCGCGGCCGGGGCGCACCUGGCAGACACCGGGCGAGGCUGCGCUGCUGCGGGCUGUGGCCUCCUCCUGCUCCUCCGCGGCCAGGAGCUGGGAAGCAGCUGCUCCUUGGAGCGGGAGGUGGUGACCGGAGCGUGUGAGCUGCCGGCGGUGCUGCCCUGGGCCGGGCCGCGGACCCCGGCGGGGGCUUGGCAGCCACGGGCGGCCCUGGCCCCGCUCGCCGACUCGCUCCUUCCCCCUCACAAGCUGUGUAAUGGCGCCUCCUGCCUACCAGCACAAGGAAGCUGCCUCUGGAGGCUCAGCCGACGAGCUUUUUCCCGUUACCCCGCCGAGCUCCUUCCAGGGCUGCGGGACAGGCAGGGAGCAGCGGAGCGGCCGGGGAGCUCCAGCCCUGCCCCACAUGAGGUGCGGCCCCGAAGAGGCCCACACGAGCUCUCUCAGGCCGUGGAUGAGGAUGGACAGGCACCUUCAGACCCCAAAAGACCAGGGGAAGCACACCCUGUUCUCUCCACUGUACAUCGCAGACACUUUGCAGAGAUCCAGAGUCCAGUGGAGAUGCCAGUGGAUAAAGACUGGAGAACAGUCAGAUGCAAGGUUUAACACUCUUUAGAGAGACAUCUCAGUUUUUAGAAGUAUGUGAGUACAUCUGUGGCAGCGGCAUUUUCUCCUUCUGCUCAUGGUUUGAGUUUGAGCCCCUUUCCACAUUUUCAAGUAUAAACCUGGAAAGAAAUGAACUAUUUCUCUGAAGGAGAAAAUAUUAUUGUGGCUUUUUCGAUCACUGCAGUAGUAUUUUGUUGUUCAUUUAUACCAAGUUGGCCACAUAACUCUCAGGUACAGCAUCUGCAUGACUUCUGCUCCAGUUCUUAUGUUACCUGCUGAAGGAAAAUGCUCCGGCUGUCUGAGGAUUGAGCAGACACUUCUUUGAAGCAGUUACCAGCACAGCUUCUGACUCCAGCCCUCUGCCAGCACACAUUCAACCAGCCUGCAGACAUCAGUAGCUGGCUUUCCCCCACUCUGAGGCUUCAAAUUAAAUUGCUGUUGAGACUCCAUGACAUAAAUUAAGAACAGAAAAACCAGUUUUAAGCUUACAGAUCUGAAGACAUCACUAAAUGAAUUCUAUUUUGGCAGCUUGCUGCUCACAACUCAGAAAAUACGACAGCAAAGCAAAUCACAUGUCCAGUGUGUGUUUUAUAACCCUGCAUAGACUAAGCCAUCUUGUAGGCACAUGCUUGACUAUUUUUAGUGGCUGUGCUCCUGAAAAUAUGGCAAAGUCCUUUAGUGUUGGCAAGUCACUAGGGGCUACUUGAAAAGUAGCAAGAGAUGUCAGUUGCUGGAAUUCUGACUGAAAAUAAUAAUACCUGGAUUUAAGAUUUGCUGCACAGAUUUGCCAAAGAGCAAAUGAAGUCAGCUCUGGCAAUGUGACGAUCUGCUGAUUGCUGCCUCCAGCCAUGAAAGCACAGGAUCUGACUGUGUUUUAUUUUCAUCACCAUUGCUACAGCAUCAUUUUAAAGUGGCUUCCAUUAAUUUCUCACAGAAGGGCUCAAGUCACUGGUGAAGCUGCAGUGAGGUGAGCCAGGGUGUGGAUUUCUGGAAGCUCAGCCACUUCACCCAUGGACGACCUUGUUCCACAGCCAACAUAGCUUUUUCCCGGAGUUCAAACAAUUAUUCACAGCCUGGAAAGAGGGCAUCUGCAGUCACUUGGAGGAUUUGGUCUCCUGCAUGGCCAUAUGAGACACUUCAGUCAACUUGUGGGCACAAACAUAAUUUCAGAAUUUCAUGUGUAAAUAUCUAUGUUAUCAUAUUCUUUCACUGUGAAAGCAGUAACUACUGUAUGUGGUAAAAUGAUAUAUUGUUGUCCGCAAAAUGUCUUUGGCAACAGGAUGUUCACUAGCCUUGGAAUUUUGCCUUGUAUAAAUAUUUUUAAUCUACUCCAUGUAGGCAUAUUUUGGCUGCAAAAUAAAGGGUUUUGGAGAUUAAUAUAUCCAAGCUCAGUUCUGCUUAUACAUACUACAUACAUCAAGGUUUUAUUGAACUCUGCAUCUAGAAACUUUGCAAAGCAGCUGUUUUGUUGGGGGUUUUUUUGCCUCCUUUCCUCAAAGGGGGAUUAUGACUAUAUCCUAUUUUUAUACUCUACAAAUGUAGUAAUUUAAUCUACAGAUAUAUUUUCAUUCUUCAGAUGUAACCUUUAUAAAGCAUGUUCAAAUUUAUGGUCAUUGCUUUUCCUGUAAAGAAUAUUAUUGGCCUCUUUUCAAAUGUCCACAUUUUCCCAAGGACUGUCCAAGUAGCUAUUUAUCAAUGAAUAAAGAAUAUAACAAUUAUCUGACAGUA